UGGACAUGGUGCAAAUAUGCACAGCAAAUUGAGAAUGCAGCCCGAUUCUACCUGUUUAGAUUUCAGACUGGCCCUGGAUCUUGGGCUACAAUAUAGGGUCCAUCAUCACCCUAAGAACAGAGAUGACAGGUUUAAGGGUGAUGCAGCUUGGGGAGGCCUGCACUGAAGCACGGCAAGGAAGAACGAAGCUAUUCCUAGAUGAGGCUGGACAGAAACUGAGCAGGCACUCAAGAAUAAAGGACAGGCAUAUUCACAGUGAGUGUGCAGAGGGUACCUGCAGAUGCCCAGCUGCUUAUCAAACUGGUGAAUAGGCUGCAGGUCCCACAGGUGUUACAGGUUGGAAAGUAAGAUGGUUCGGCUGCUGUGAAGAAUGCUGUAUGACAAUCAACAUGUUUACUGUGGACCUACCACAGGACCAGUCACUCUCUCUGUGGAUGUUACAGCCAUGGCAUAGAAGUGCUGUUUCUAACAGCCAAAAGCCAAGAGCCAGGCAAGUGACUGCCAAUGUACAAAAGAUGGUCAAAGUCAGAGAUAGAAGGAGAAUGCGGUUGCCAGGAGCUGAGGGAAGGGAAACUGGGAAUUCAUGAGCUGCACACCCGAAAGCUUUUGAAUGAUGGGGCCGGAGAUGGAGAUGAGAGAUGGCUCAGUAGUGAAAAGUGCUUCCUGCUCCUGCAGAGAACCUGAGUUUGCUUCCCGGCACCCACAAGGCAGCUCACCUUGUAAUUCCAGUUCCCAGGGAACUGGUGCCGUCUCUACAGAUACCAAGCCUACACAGGCUGCACAUAACAUACAUGCAGGCAAACACUUA
rnacentral:lncRNA from 1 species